rnacentral:pre_miRNA from 1 species
GGGGAGAAGGCCGGAUCCUGGGCUGUGUCCCCCGGCGCCCUGGGUUUUGGGGCCUUCGCUGCUGGAACCACGCUCCCGGGCUGCGCAGCCCCCU